UGAUUUCCUGUGCUCUCCUCCUCGCUGCCCCAAAUGUGAGCAAGGCCCCUGGUGUGAGGACGGAUAUAACAGUAGGGACAUAAGUGUGUAAAGGGGCCGCUGGAGGCUGCCUUCCUUCUUUAUGAGUUUUUGUCCCACCCUUCCUCUAGAUGUUGGGCAGCUCCUAGCCCCAGCCUUGUGGCUUUUCGGUGCUGGCUGGGACCAGGCUGGUGAUGAUGAAUCAGUCAUGGAAACAGGCACCCCUUCUGAUGGGACUGAAUGAGCAUCCCAGGGUGAAGAAUCCUGCAGCUGUGAUGUGUCUCACUCUGAAGUAUUACCCAAUACUCAAGCUUCCCUACAGGAUCUUCAUAAACAGAACAAAUAUCUCAUUGAUUUAGGAUGGGCAGAAUGUUAUAUGCUGGGCGGGGAAGGGAAUUACGGAAGCAAAUGAGGUUCAUACAGCUUUUGAAGAAGCGGAAAUAACUGGGUCUUCCAUCUCCAGCAGUUCUGACAAACCUGCCUCUGCAGCUCAGAAUACUUCAGAUGAGCACUUUCUGAUAUUUACCAUGAAGGUUCCCAAAGCUGACGGAGGGAAGCCAACACAAAUUUAUCCUCCUCAAGAUCCACUUGACCCAAGUCCAUAAGACGAUCACCUUCAACCUCAAUCAUGUGAAGCAUGGAUAGCACAUGAAGCAGAAAGCAGUGUACGCCCUAAAAUACACAAUUGUACAUAUGUACAGAUCAAAAGAAGAAAGAACACACUAACAUAUGAGUAUGAGCUUGGCAGGAUGGCUUCAUGGCAGUGCCGUCUCCGACCUCACAUUUUUCCCAAUUUUAUCGGCAAUGAGAUUGUUUAUUUAUUUAUUUAAAUAAGUUAUGAAGGCACGGUCAGAAUUUUACCAGUACCAGCUGGCCAACAAAACGCUGCUGUAGGAGAUUGAUAACAGACUUACUCGUAGAAAUACUAAUUUUACAAGUGCAAUUAUUGUUUUUUUCUCAGCCCUG